CCUGCUGGACGGUGCCGCUGAUUGAACCUUAUCAUUGAGAGGAAGGAGGUGUCGUAACAAGGUUUCCGUAGGUGAACCUGCGGAAGGAUCAU
rnacentral:rRNA from 1 species